rnacentral:rRNA from 1 species
CCUACGAUGGGCUGCAGUGAGGAAUAUUGGUCAAUGGGCGCGAGCCUGAACCAGCCAAGUCGCGUGAGGGAGGACGGUCCUAUGGAUUGUAAACCUCUUUUGUCGGGGAGCAAAAGACGCCACGCGUGGCGUUCCGAGAGUACCCGAAGAAAAAGCAUCGGCUAACUCCGUGCCAGCAGCCGCGGUAAUACGGAGGAUGCGAGCGUUAUCCGGCUUUAUGGGGUUGAAAGGGUGCGCAGGCGGAAGAUCAAGUCAGCGGGCAACUUGAGAGGCUCAACCUCUUCGAGCCGUUGAAACUGGUUGUCUUGAGUGAGUGAGAAGUAGGCGGAAUGCGUGGUGUAGCGGUGAAAUGCAUAGAUAUCACGCAGAACUCCGAUUGCGAAGGCAGCAUACCGGCGCUCAACUGACGCUCAUGCACGAAAGUGUGGGUAUCGAACAGGAUUAGAUACCCUGGUAGUC